AUUGAACGCUGGCGGCAGGCUUAACACAUGCAAGUCGAGCGAGUGGCGGACGGGUGAGUAAUGUCUGGGAAACUGCCUGAUGGAGGGGGAUAACUACUGGAAACGGUAGCUAAUACCGCAUACCAUCGGAUGUGCCCAGAUGGGCUUAGCUAGUAGGUGGGGUAACGGCUCACCUAGGCGACGAUCCCUAGCUGGUCUGAGAGGAUGACCAGCCACACUGGAACUGAGACACGGUCCAGACGCCUACGGGAGGCAGCAGUGGGGAAUAUGGCACAAUGGGCGCAAGCCUGAUGCAGCCAUGCCGCGUGUGUGAAGAAGGCCUUCGGGUUGUAAAGUACUUUCAGCGGGGAGGCGUUACUCGCAGAAGAAGCACCGGCUAACUCCGUGCCAGCAGCCGCGGUAAUAC
rnacentral:rRNA from 1 species